rnacentral:rRNA from 1 species
GAUGAACGCUGGCGGCGUGCCUAAUACAUGCAAGUCGAGCGAACAGACGAGGAGCUUGCUCCUCUGACGUUAGCGGCGGACGGGUGAGUAACACGUGGAUAACCUACCUAUAAGACUGGGAUAACUUCGGGAAACCGGAGCUAAUACCGGAUAAUAUAUUGAACCGCAUGGUCCAAUAGUGAAAGACGGUUUUGCUGUCACUUAUAGAUGGAUCCGCGCCGCAUUAGCUAGUUGGUAAGGUAACGGCUUACCAAGGCGACGAUGCGUAGCCGACCUGAGAGGGUGAUCGGCCACACUGGAACUGAGACACGGUCCAGACUCCUACGGGAGGCAGCAGUAGGGAAUCUUCCGCAAUGGGCGAAAGCCUGACGGAGCAACGCCGCGUGAGUGAUGAAGGUCUUCGGAUCGUAAAACUCUGUUAUUAGGGAAGACCAAAUGUGUAAGUAACUAUGCACGUCUUGACGGUACCUAAUCAGGAAGCCACGGCUAACUACGUG